UACGUAGGGUGCGAGCGUUAAUCGGAAUUACUGGGCGUAAAGCGUGCGCAGGCGGUGAUGUAAGACAGGUGUGAAAUCCCCGGGCUUAACCUGGGAACUGCAUUUGUGACUGCAUCGCUGGAGUGCGGCAGAGGGGGAUGGAAUUCCGCGUGUAGCAGUGAAAUGCGUAGAGAUCGGGAGGAACAUCAGUGGCGAAGGCGACCCUCUGGACCAGCACUGACGCUGAGGCACGAAAGCGUGGGGAGCAAACAGG
rnacentral:rRNA from 1 species